CCAGCCAUUGCCUCCAACAACUUACAUUGUAAAUAAGACCCUUUGCCAUGAUGCACGACUUGUACCUGUGGAGAGCCCAGUCACAAUCUGCGGCUGUCCACCAGAGUGUUUGAGGGUCAGACCAGGAAAGGUUGUUGCUGUGGUCACAAUGAAUGGACGUUACAAUCUCAGCAUGCCAGAGCUGAGGUGUGAGACAUGUGACGCUUCUUGGACUGCUGGAGUAGAUGACCUAAAUCUAAGUGAUUACUGGCCCGCUACCCUUCACUAUUCUACUUUGUACACAACAGAUGUCUUCUUCACAUUUGAAGAAAUGAAGAUGGCAUCACCCGGACUCUCCUGCAAAGCAUUUUUAAAAAUGCUUGAUCAACGAACUCUCCACUUUGGCCGUACGGGAAAGAUCUCUGCAGAUGGCUUUAAGAAAAGUUUCUUUGAGUGGGAAGCCGUGAGAUAUGAAUUAGACAAGAUUUUAAAGGAGGAUCCCUUCACAUGUCAUGCAUGUGCCCCAGACAUGCUUGCAAUUUCAGUGGAUGGAAACCGCAAGCAUUACCGUUUCAAGAAUGCAGCCAGAUCUGAGGAACUGGGCAUCUUUGAAGACGCCUUCAUAGCAAAGGAUGAAGAUGUGGGAAGAUUUGUGGACUACAUACACAGCACAUCCAGACAUGUCUCCGGACGAGGUGUUUGUGGAGGG
ensembl:lncRNA